rnacentral:rRNA from 1 species
AGAGUUUGAUCCUGGCUCAGGACGAACGCUGGCGGCGUGCCUAACACAUGCAAGUCGAACGGAACUGUUUUGAAAGAUUUCUUCGGAAUGAAUUUGAUUUAGUUUAGUGGCGGACGGGUGAGUAACGCGUGAGUAACCUGCCUUCAAGAGGGGGAUAACAUUCUGAAAAGAAUGCUAAUACCGCAUGACAUAUCGGAACCACAUGGUUUUGAUAUCAAAGAUUUUAUCGCUUGAAGAUGGACUCGCGUCCGAUUAGUUAGUUGGUGAGGUAACGGCUCACCAAGACCGCGAUCGGUAGCCGGACUGAGAGGUUGAACGGCCACAUUGGGACUGAGACACGGCCCAGACUCCUACGGGAGGCAGCAGUGGGGGAUAUUGCGCAAUGGGGGCAACCCUGACGCAGCAACGCCGCGUGAAGGAUGAAGGUUUUCGGAUUGUAAACUUCUUUUAUUAAGGACGAAAAUUGACGGUACUUAAUGAAUAAGCUCCGGCUAACUACGUGCCAGCAGCCGCGGUAAUACGUAGGGAGCAAGCGUUGUCCGGAUUUACUGGGUGUAAAGGGUGCGUAGGCGGCUUUGCAAGUCAGAUGUGAAAUCUAUGGGCUCAACCCAUAAACUGCAUUUGAAACUGUAGAGCUUGAGUGAAGUAGAGGCAGGCGGAAUUCCCCGUGUAGCGGUGAAAUGCGUAGAGAUGGGGAGGAACACCAGUGGCGAAGGCGGCCUGCUGGGCUUUAACUGACGCUGAGGCACGAAAGCGUGGGUAGCAAACAGGAUUAGAUACCCUGGUAGUCCACGCUGUAAACGAUGAUUACUAGGUGUGGGGGGAUUGACCCCUUCCGUGCCGCAGUUAACACAAUAAGUAAUCCACCUGGGGAGUACGACCGCAAGGUUG